UUAAACUCACCCAACCCAGGCUGAACUGAAAUCCCUAGGAAUACAACUGCUGCCCCAUGAGAUACCUGCCUAAAUGUUCGACAAGAAAGACUCUUUGAUGAUGCAACCGAAGCAAGCAAAGAAAUCUGUUUUCAAAUAAGAUGAAAGUCUCUGAGAAUUGAAGCAGCCGCAGUGAUGCCACUUCAGAUGUUAAUGGAAUCUCCACUUGCCCUAGAAGUCACAUUGCUGAAGUGAGAGCGGUUAAACUCAGUGUACCAGAGGCAAUGAACAGCAGCUGGACGUAAGCUCUCACUGAAUGACAGAGUAACUUAUACCAGAGUAACUGCAUCUGCCUUGCUUUGGUGAAUAAAGUUCUAAAUCUGAAAUGGGCUAUUGAGAGAUCACUAGCAGAA